UACGAGGGGUGCAAGCGUUGCUCGGAAUUAUUGGGCGUAAAGGGUAGGUAGGUGGUCUCAUUUGUCUUAUGUGAAAGCCUUGGGCUUAACUCAAGAAGUGCGUAAGAAACGGUGAGACUGGAGUCCUGGAGAGGUGAGUGGAAUUCCCGGUGUAGCGGUGAAAUGCGUAGAGAUCAGGAGGAACACCGAUGGCGAAGGCAGGUCUCUGGGCCAUUACUGACACUGAGAAGCGAAAGCAUGGGGAGCGAACAGG
rnacentral:rRNA from 1 species